rnacentral:lncRNA from 1 species
AAAUAAGCCAACUUUCAAAAGCCCAAACACCAAAAAACCUUAAACCCUUUACUGCAACAAAAUACCCAAUAACUGUUUCGGAUGGCACACACCAAUUUUUAUCAUGAGAAAAAAGCAACCCCAAACCCAAAUUAAGCAUUUCAUAAAUCCUAAAUAGUGAAAAGAAUUUUUUUUUUGAAUGGGAAGCUCACCAAUGCUAUCAUAGGGCCUAAGUAGAGAGCGGUUCAACAAAAAGCCCCCAAAAGCAAAAUCAAAACCAAACACCCACAUACACAAUCGGAGGCUAUAAAUUAAAAACAAAAACAAAAUUUAAUAGAAACCCCAUUUGUAAAUCCAAAGAAUGUCUAGGUCCAGUGCAUUCUUUCUAAUAAUUGACACAAAAGAAAUAAAUAUAUAGCCAUGUUCAUGUAAUCCGAAGAGGAACAACCAUAUACCUGAGUUUUUUAGAUGAUUGGUCACCCUCUCCCCAAAUCCCCUGAACAUAAAAUUCUCAUGCGCUCGUUUGUUCCAUGUUGUGGUUUGCUCCCAUUCUGAUCCUUCUCUUUCUCCUAAUUGGAGACUCUAAUUUAAUUAAAAUCAAACAUUCAAACAACUUAUCUCUCAGUUGAUUGAUUGCUACCUAAUGAGGGCCAUUAAUACUUAUUUGUAAUUUAAUUAUCAAAAAAAUUAAAAACGCUUGAAUGUAUUUAACAAAUCGGUGAGCAGUUAAUUAGUACUCUUGACAAAUAUAUACCUGCUACUUAUCUAAGAUAUAAUUCAAUGUUGAAUCGAAAUCAAUAUUCACAUGAACUAAUUUAAACAACAAAAAUAACGAACUAAAUCAUUUACCCAAGAUAUAAAUUAACAUCACCAACUCGCCUAAAUUAAAAACUUACAUUGGUGAAAUAUACAACCCAAUGGCAAAGAACUCCCUGCAGUUAAUUCAAACGACAUUGACAAAAAAUCCCAAAAAAUCAAUAUUCUUACAGCCACUUCUAUCAUAUUUUAUAAACACACAAAAUGGCACACCCCGACUCGGAAUGUCCACUAGGACUCCGAAUCGAGCUGUGUUGGCCGACGCCUGGAAGGUGACGAAGCCAUAAAGUGUGAUGAUGUGGAAAAAUAUGAAUAAAUUUAAAUCUAAGAGUGCCUAAAUACGAGAGUGCACCGGUGAGUGGGAAUGAACCCACUUCACACGUGAUGUUAGAGCAUACGCAAGUACAGAAGAGUGAAUUAAGAUUCGUACCUUAGAACUAAUCUCCAAUACUAAGAAUUGCCACGAAUCUUCAACGAUAAGGAAGCUCAGUUGAUAAAACCUGGAGGGUGAAGACAAGACAAAGGUGAGUGGCCCUGCAAAUAAAAUUUUAAUAAAAACCAUAUAAAACAUUAUAACCCUUUGCUACAACACCUGUAUAAUUCCCAGAAAAUCAUAAAUAUACCACAACACAACAUCUCGUCAGCAAUAUCAAAUAAUCAUGUGAUUAAUAACUCAUACUAGUACACAAGUCGGAGUCACCUAUGGUGACUUGUACGACUUACCCAUAUCUCAUCACAUAUCUCAUCACAUAUACUAGUUCAUCACAUAUUUUAUCACAUAUGCUAGCUUAUCACAUAUCUCAUCACAUAUGCUAGC